AGACCCGUCUACUGUUCGUGCUUCAGAGGCGAACCAGGAUUAGUUGCUUGCCGGUAUUCACGUGGAUUAGCAAGCAACCCGUCUACUGUUCGUGCUUCAGAGGCGAACCAGGAUUAGUUGCUUGCCGGUAUUCACGUGGAUUAGCAAGCAACCCGUCUACUGUUCGUGCUUCAGAGGCGAACCAGGAUUAGUUGCUUGCCGGUAUUCACGUGGAUUAGCAAGCAACCCGUCUACUGUUCGUGCUUCAGAGGCGAACCAGGAUUAGUUGCUUGCCGGUAUUCACGUGGAUUAGCAAGCAACCCGUCUACUGUUCGUGCUUCAGAGGCGAACCAGGAUUAGUUGCUUGCCGGUAUUCACGU